rnacentral:rRNA from 1 species
UACGGGGGGAGCAAGCGUUGUUCGGAUUUACUGGGCGUAAAGGGCGCGUAGGCGGCCAGCACAAGUCAGUUGUGAAAUCUCCGAGCUUAACUCGGAGAGGUCAACUGAUACUGUGCGGCUAGAGUGCAGAAGGGGCAACUGGAAUUCUUGGUGUAGCGGUGAAAUGCGUAGAUAUCAAGAGGAACACCUGCGGCGAAGGCGGGUUGCUGGGCUGACACUGACGCUGAGGCGCGAAAGCUAGGGGAGCGAACGGG